rnacentral:rRNA from 1 species
GUGGGGAAUCUUCCGCAAUGGACGAAAGUCUGACGGAGCAACGCCGCGUGAACGAUGACGGCCUUCGGGUUGUAAAGUUCUGUUAUACGGGACGAAUGGUACGACGGCCAAUACCCGUCGUAAGUGACGGUACCGUAAGAGAAAGCCACGGCUAACUACGUGCCAGCAGCCGCGGUAAUACGUAGGUGGCAAGCGUUGUCCGUAAUUAUUGGGCGUAAAGGGCGAGCAGGCGGCGUCGUAAGUCGGUCUUAAAAGUGCGGGGCUUAACCCCGGGAGGUGACCGAAACUGCGAUGCUAGAGUAUCGGAGAGGAAAGCGGAAUUCCUAGUGUAGCGGUGAAAUGCGUAGAUAUUAGGAGGAACACCAGUGGCGAAAGCGGCUUUCUGGACGACAACUGACGCUGAGGCGCGAAAGCCAGGGGAGCAAACGGGAUUAGAUACCCGAGUAGUCC